rnacentral:rRNA from 1 species
ACGAUUGAAGCCAGUCGUACCUUCGGGUAAUCAGCCUUUCGGGUGCGAUUCUGUGGGGUUUGAGGAGCUUUAACACCUUCAUGCUUUGCAUAUUCGUGCUCUUGGGUGUACUUGCCCGUGUGGUUGGUUAACAUCAAUUUUGGUGGUCAUAAAAUGACUGGAGGAAUGUAGCUUCGAUCUUGUAUUGAAGUGUUAUAACCUUCGGUAGAUGUGAUGAUCGAGAUUGAGGAUUGCAACGGAUACCCUUCGGGGCUACCUGUCUGAUCUCUGAUCGUUGCUCUGGUGCCGAAAGCUUGCUUACGGUUAUCAAAGUCGAUGGUCAAUAGGUUAGAACGGGUUAAAUUCGUUAAGGAUGUUGACGUA